rnacentral:lncRNA from 1 species
UACCUGAUCUCUUUCCCUUCAUCACUCCCAACACAAGAUAACAAACUCAACCAUUCUCUCUCUUGAGGCAUCUGUGUGCCCCACAAACAUGUAUGCAACACCCACCAUGUCUACAAGCCUUGUUCGGCACCUAGAGAUGCAGAAUGACACAGUGACUGUCCCUUCAAGAAGCUACCCCCUCAAGGUUGGGAGGCAGAUACAAUGGCCAUUAGAAUGGAAUGUACAAGACAUUGUGGGCCAUGCGGAAGGGACUAACCCAGCCUGGGGUAAUAGGGAGGGCAACCAAAAAGAGAUGGCCCUUGUAUGAAGUCAUAAAGGAUGAGCUGCACUAAGCCAGGCAAAGAGGGGUUACGGUGAGUUCUUCCAGGCAAAGAGGAUUUUGUCUGGAAGUCCUCUUUGAGCAAAGACAUGGAGUCCACAUGAGCAAAGACAUGGAGGAGAAAAACGGCAUGGCACGAAGGGAACUGCAGGAGGGAAAAGCAAAGAGAAGAUGCGAUGAAGCCACAGAGCAGGAAGAGGCCUCGGUUGCUGUCCUGACCAGUCCUCUCACUUCACCAUCAAGGCCAUGAAACCCAGAGAAGGGAUGUGACUUGAGAUCCAGCCAGACCCAGAUCCAGAGUUGGGAGGGCAGGGGUGCUGCAAUAUGAUCACAGAAUCGACACUCGACCCCUCCCAGCGACCUGGCAAAGUGGGCACUAACUCCAUUCUGCAGAGGUGGAAACUGAGGCCAGUGUGGGGAAUGGAAAUUGACUGGGCUAAGCUUAGAAGCCUGAACUCUGACCCCAAAGCUCUCUCUUGUACCUUUGACCCCCUUGUCUUGUCCUGCAGCUCUUAAGGUUACAGUGAGCCAGUUUUUCAUUUUGCCUUUCUCCAAUGGAGGCACCUUGGAAAAUAGAGAUCUGGCUGGAGCAACCUGGAACAUUUGAUGAUUGGGCUUAUUUAUAUUUAUAAUUAUCUAUAGAGUGAUAAGCACUUAUAUGCGGAAGGAGAGAGUUCCUGUCCUGCUCACUGAUGUAUCAUCAACUUGCUAAUGAAUGAAUGAAUGAACAAAUGCUAAUCCUCACAGAUCCCCUCUCUACAGAGGAAGAGGCUGAGGCUCAGGGAGGUGCAGUGACUUGCUUCAGAGACACAGGAAUCAUGCCAGGAAUCGUCGGGCCUCCCUUUUUUCUCAGAGAAGAAAGAUUGUUUCUGUUUCCUCCUCCGUCAUGCUGGGCUUGUCAACCAGCCAGUCACCGGCCCUCCCUGAGGAAGCGCAGCACAGUCACCAGCCAGGAGAACAGAUUCACCUGCCCCAGGACGUCAGCGCUGCCCACACACGGUGCCACCCACGCACUGUGACACACACUCACACUUGGGCCCCAGACUCCCCAGGUCCAACCAAGGAGAGGGAAUGGCAGAGGAGCGCACAGGGGUGGGGCAGGCACUGAACCCCGCUGGGGAAUGGAGGGGGAAAGGGUGGGACAGGCCCCACCCAGCCCCAACUGUCAGAAGACGAAAGAAAGGGUGCAGGUGGGCUCCGGGUUGGAGAAGAAGAAGGUGAGCCAGCAGAGCCGAGUCACGGCAGCCUGCCAAGCCGACUGCUGAGGCAGAGUUAGCACUGGCUGGAUGAGACACUUCACACUUCACAGCUCCUGAAAAGUGUGGAGGAAAUGCCCACACCCUACAUAGACCAGAGGGCCACUAUCUGCUUGAAACAAAUGGCCCCUUCCUGGACAUCCUUUGUUCCCCUUUAUGGACAAAAUGCUACUACCUUCACUUACACCCUCCCUAGAGAUCUCCCAAAGAAGGAGGAUGAGGGAAGCUGCCUUUGGUUGAGUCUAUGCUAUGUGCCUGACUCUGUGCCAAGCUCUGGACCUCCACCAAGUCAGGUACUCCCCACAGGCUGAAAUCAG